GACGAACGCUGGCGGCGUGCCUAAUACAUGCAAGUAGAACGCUGAAGGAGGAGCUUGCUUCUCCGGAUGAGUUGCGAACGGGUGAGUAACGCGUAGGUAGCCUGCCUGGUAGCGGGGGAUAACUAUUGGAAACGAUAGCUAAUACCGCAUAAGAGUAGAUGUUGCAUGACAUUUGCUUAAAAGGUGCAAUUGCAUCACUACCAGAUGGACCUGCGUUGUAUUAGCUAGUUGGUGAGGUAACGGCUCACCAAGGCGACGAUACAUAGCCGACCUGAGAGGGUGAUCGGCCACACUGGGACUGAGACACGGCCCAGACUCCUACGGGAGGCAGCAGUAGGGAAUCUUCGGCAAUGGACGGAAGUCUGACCGAGCAACGCCGCGUGAGUGAAGAAGGUUUUCGGAUCGUAAAGCUCUGUUGUAAGAGAAGAACGAGUGUGAGAGUGGAAAGUUCACACUGUGACGGUAUCUUACCAGAAAGGGACGGCUAACUACGUG
rnacentral:rRNA from 1 species